GUCUUUCCUCUGGUCUUCUUCAAUCUGAGGAACAGAGACAGAGGGACAGUAGAGGACAGAUGGACACAGUGGAGCACAGUUACAGGUGGAUGACCUGUGGAUCUGACCUUGAGAGACACCAGACUACGUUCAUUUUGGUCCAGUAGAGAAAUCAGAAGAUGAAGGCGAUGGAAGCCACCACUACCACAGUGACCGCCAGAAUGAUCAUGAUGAUGUCUUGCAGCUUGAGAUCUAAAUAG